AGCUCUUGUUUAAAUUUUCUGGAAAUCUUGGUCUGUCCUGCUUAAAAUCUGUAUUUGAUCAUUUUCACUGAGGUUCUGUACAUGUUGAAGUAAAGGUAUUUCUUAUAUGCAAAUCCAUUUUAAUCAUUUCGUUAACUUUCUGCAGAUGCUUGUAAUUUGCUUAGCAUGGUUUUAGUCAUUGACUUAAAAUGCCACCUUCAUGGACUAUGUACUUUCUGCAUUCAAAAUUUAAUUGUGAUAUAAAAUUACUUCUCUGUGUUUUGGUACAUAGAAAUUCAGUUGUUGAUAUCCGAAGCCAAAUGAUACGCCAGUUGAUUAUGAAGUAAGCCUUCCCUGCAUGUCCAUGGGACAUGAGUUCUUGUGAAAUUUGCAGCUGACACUUGGAAACUUGCAGAGUUUAAAAUAGCAAUAACUUCUAUGUUCUUGAUAUCUUAAAAUUUUCAUUUUUAAACUCAACAUCCUCAUUUUCUGUCAGCUCUUAAAGAACAGUCAUGAAGAUGAGUUAUAUGCCUAAAUAUGUGGAUCUUGUUGAGAAUUAUUAGUUUUAUGACUCUUGCCUAUAAAAUGAUGCAGAGAUUUGAAAAUUCUUAUGAUUGUAACACUAUAUUGUUGGUUAUAUUUACCUAUCUGUUGAUCUUCAAGUUGCCCCAGUGUGGUGGGAGACACUUCUAGGUUUUCUUAGUCAUUUGUGUUCGGCCAUAAUUAUGUGGAUUUGUUGAGUUGUACUCAUGUCGGUUUAGUAUGAGUUCUCUUAUUGUAGCAGUAAUUCAUAAUUGUUUUUCUGUAUAGCAUACAUCUGUCCUAAUCCCAAUUCUUGCAGUUCCCAUCGUAUCCAUGCUUCUCAACUUCCACCUGAAUUUCUUCAUACCUCAGUUGAUAGGCAUCUGGUCAUGGGAAUUUAUUCUAAGGGUGUUGACCUUUGUUGAAGUAGAACUCUUUGCAUAAUGCGGGUAAGUUACUUUUUUUAUCUUUUCUAGUUUUACUUUACCGCCAGGAAUAUUUUCCUUGUAUGCUUGAGUAAACAUUUCGAGUGUAAUUGCAUUUAUCUUUGUAUAGCAUGUUAAUUCGGCAAAGCAGCAACACUGACUAGUAUAAACUUAUCAAUUUUGUUCAACUGCAAGAUCAAGACAUUACUUUGCAAAGUUUUUUGCAUGGCAUGGCAUUUGCAUGCCAUAAAAACCUGGUCUAAAAUCAUGUUUUUGUUUUGAGUUACUAGAUAUUUUCUACUUUUUUUUCAGUAAGUGUAUGAGGUUCUUUG
rnacentral:lncRNA from 1 species